UAUUGGGCGUAAGCGCGCGCAGGUGGUUUCUUAAGUCUGAUGUGAAAGCCCACGCCUCAACCGUGGAGGGUCAUUGGAAACUGGGAGACUUGAGUGCAGAAGAGGAAAGUGGAAUUCCAUGUGUAGCGGUGAAAUGCGUAGAGAUAUGGAGGAACACCAGUGGCGAAGGCGACUUUCUGGUCUGUAACUGACACUGAGGCGCGAAAGCGUGGGGAGCAAACAGGAUUAGAUACCCUGGUAGUCCACGCCGUAAACGAUGAGUGCUAAGUGUUAGAGGGUUUCCCCCCCUUAGUGCUGAAGUUAACGCAUUAAGCCCUCCGCCUGGGGAGUACGGCCGCAAGGCUGACAACUCUAAGGAAUUGACGGGCGCCCCCCCACGCGGUGGAGCAUGUGUUUUAUUUC
rnacentral:rRNA from 1 species